AUGUCCCAUAUGCAAGUACGUGCGUGCAUGUGCCAUGCAAAAUUAUUUUGCUAUUGCAUAAUGACUUGCCUUUGCUUAUAUAGCCUGCAUCAAACCUUAUUAGUUUUUUUUCCGCAAUGGUGCACAAAAACUUGUCGAACACCUUUGACUCUACAGAACAGCUCAAGUGUUCAGCCGCCGCCGGCGCGCUCCCAAUGCUCCGCUCGUCCACCAGCAGCAACGUCCUUGUCACCAAUGGACACUCAUCGAUGGUGGCGCGGGGCUCAACGUCCUCUCCAUCGAGACGCACCAGGUGCCGUACGACCAACUCCUCCCCAUCAAGCCCUUCUCAGGAGUGACUGA
rnacentral:rRNA from 1 species